GUUUGUUUUGACACUUUAGUUUCAGUGUAAAUUUCAGAACCAUAAAAAUAACUUUCAUGUAGAUGUAUUGCUUUCUGUGUACUUUCCUGGAGCUGCAGUUACAGGUGCCUGUGAGCUCAUGGUGCCAGGAGGGAGAGUGAUCCUCUGCAACUGAAGCUGACUAUGAGUUUCCUCGGUGUGGGCGCUAGCAACUGAAGCUGGGCCAUCUCUCCAGCCCACCAUGACAACUUUCUUCAAAUCUCCUGACCUGAGAGUCACCUUCAUUUAGACCUCAUCAUCUGACCGGCUUUAUCCUAAGAGAGCUGGGGUCACAGUUCUACACAUGAGGCAGAAGGCCACAGAAGCCUGGGUCCCAUAUCUACCU